UCCUUGAUGAGCACCGGAUUC
rnacentral:miRNA from 1 species